rnacentral:rRNA from 1 species
AUUGAACGCUGGCGGAAUGCUUUACACAUGCAAGUCGAACGGCAGCACGGACUUCGGUCUGGUGGCGAGUGGCGAACGGGUGAGUAAUGUAUCGGAACGUGCCCAGUCGUGGGGGAUAACGUAGUGAAAAUUACGCUAAUACCGCAUACGAUCUGUGGAUGAAAGCGGGGGAUCGCAAGACCUCGCGCGAUUGGAGCGGCCGAUAUCAGAUUAGGUAGUUGGUGGGGUAAAGGCUCACCAAGCCAACGAUCUGUAGCUGGUCUGAGAGGACGACCAGCCACACUGGAACUGAGACACGGUCCAGACUCCUACGGGAGGCAGCAGUGGUGAAUUUUGGACAAUGGGCGAAAGCCUGAUCCAGCCAUUCCGCGUGCAGGAUGAAGGCCCUCGGGUUGUAAACUGCUUUUGUACAGAACGAAAAGGUUUCUACUAAUACUAGGAGCUCAUGACGGUACUGUAAGAAUAAGCACCGGCUAACUACGUGCCAGCCGCCGCAGUAA